UACAGAGGGGGCGAGCGUUGUUCGGAAUUACUGGGCGUAAAGGGCGCGUAGGCGGCCAACUAAGUCAGACGUGAAAUCCCUCGGCUCAACCGGGGAACUGCGUCUGAUACUGGAUGGCUUGAAUUCGGGAGAGGAUGGCGGAAUUCCCAGUGUAGAGGUGAAAUUCGUAGAUAUUGGGAAGAACACCGGUGGCGAAGGCGGCCAUCUGGCCUGUAAUUGACGCUGAGGCGCGAAAGCGUGGGGAGCAAACAGG
rnacentral:rRNA from 1 species